CAGCUUUCGCAGCUGAGGUAAACUUCCGCCCAAAUGCUGGCGCCCCCUAAUUUAAUCACGCCCCUGAACGUUUCAUUUUGCUAAAAUAAGCUGCAGCCUCAUCAAAAUGAAGUGAAAUGGAGAAAUCUGGCAGGGAGAUUCCUGACGGCAGCACACAACGGCGAGGGUGUGGCAGCAGGUAACGCCCUGAAAGACAGAAACCCGCCAAUUACAUUCAACUGCUGGUCUGGGAUAAUCCAAUAGGAUUUUGAGCUCGUCCGGCAUCUGAUAGGAGGAGAGUACUGUCGCUCACUCCUCGGAUGCAGCUGCUUUAGGAAGUCUAGCGCAUGUGAACUGGAAGCCUGCCAGUGCACAGUCACUAAGAGAGCAAGGUAAACAAUUUCUCUCUCUAUCUCCCUUCCUCCCUCCCUCUCUCUCAUUCUAGUUCUUUCCCCGAUUCCCUCCUAUGACAUUUACACCCUUUCGUAAAAGUACCCCACCUUAGGACACGGUCUUAAACGUGAGGUGAGACAUUACUUUGAUAAUAAAGUGCAGUAAAUAUGACUGCGUCAUUUAUGCUUCUUGUAACUCGCCGAAAGACGUUUCGUUGAUGGAAGUGCGGUAUUUACCAGCUCUGUCUGCAGUGUAUCCUUGCCAAAAGAUCAUGAAAUUUGGUGCAAGGUUCCUAUUGGGUCGUCCUUAUAUAUCCACCUGAGCUUUUACAGUAUAUGUAAGAUAAAACGCAUUUUUCGCCUUACCUGUUGUCUUACGUAAGCGGUCUCGGAUAUGUCGUUAUACAUCCUUUACCUGUUAGUUGUCGUGUGUAUCAUCCAUAAACAAACAUACGCACUUGUAUGUUCAAAUAAUACUGAUAAAACAAUGACUGUAUACUUAUCUCGGAUGCUAAUGGCAGAGAAACCGGUCCUUAAGUGUUGUCUAGGUCGAAAGAACCUUCGAGAGCAGCAUUUGUUUUGUUUACGCUUUCUAUAUCGUUUUUUGCACGUUCGCAUCGUACGUACCUCGCAACGGCAUCACACGCCCAGCAUCGCACAUAGACGCAUGGCAAAUCUCCGAAUCACACGGACAAAUCCGUGUACUGUGUAACUACACAACACUCUCAGCAUCCAUGUUUGAGCUGCGCUUCUGGAGAACGGACAAAAUCGUGAAAUCAGAGAGAGAGAGAGUGAAAGUGAGGAAAGAGAUGGCGAAGAAAAGAAGUGGAUGAAAGGCGGACGAAUCGAUGGAGGGCAGGGACACUCACAGGUAGGAGAAAAUCGCACAUGUCCGAAUCCUCUCCUCCUAGCUGCUGUUUUCCUCUCGACGUGAAAAAGUGACGUAGCAAGUAAUCCAAAAUCUCUCUCUCUUUCUCUCUCCCUCCCUCUCUCUCUCUCUCUCCACCAGUCCUCCACCCUCUCCAGCUCGCUCUAUUUUCAUCUUGUUGCAGAAUCGCUCUUUCAGACUGCUGUUUUUUUAGACAGACACAUGUCUGCAUAAAUAGAUCUCUAAUACGCACAUGAUCACCAAGACUGAUAGAUAGCGCAAAAACUCCCACGAUCCCUUUGUAUCCUACUCCCUCACUAAGUCUCUGUCUAUCUCUCUCGCUCAUUGUGACGCAGCACUUAAUUCUUGGGUCUUUUUCGUUCUGUUAUGGCCACACAAACAUUGCCCUUUGAAAAUCCAACCUGGCAACGCGUUCGCGGAUACAUAAUGAGUGGAAAGAGAGACAGAGAGCGAGAGGGAAACAGUUUGCUCUCCUAUCUCAUGUCCUCUUUUUCCCUCUAUCCUCUUAUAACUGUCUGUACCCAUCAGCCCUCCUGUUAUAUCUUCAGCGUCUCAUCUGCCGCUCUAGUGUCUCGCUGAACUGAGAUGACCGUGCUCUUCUGAUCACCUGACAGCCUGCAGCUUUUAAAGGCACAUCGCAGUGCUUCGGUUAUGUAACAACUGGGCUGUUUUGUUUCUUUGAGUUUUUUUUAAUCUACGCCUGUUCAAAAUGUCCCAGGCUGUCAGGGGAGCGUUAAAUCAGAUAAUAUGGGUUGGGAUGGAAGGACUAUUGUAUUUGUAAACAUCAAAACUGACAUUUGGCAACAUCAUAUGUGUGGACGAGGGAUUUAGACAUGAGAUGUGAUAUGAUACAAAAGAAAGACCAGAAGGAUGCCACAUCAGUAUCUCAUAGUCUUCCUCUUCCUGUUUUGAGACUACAGAUCCGUAACCAUGGAGACAGACUACAUGGAUGAUGUAACCAAAUAUAAAACCAAAAUGACGUAUGAGGAAAAAGCAGGGGGAAAUAUCUUUGCAAUCGCAUUUUGAAAAUAACAUACACGUUUCAUUUUAGGGAUAUUACAGACUCUUUAAGGCUGUUUACACUUGGCAUUAACAUGCGUUUUCGUCGAUCGGAUCACAAGUGGACGACGUUAAUGCCAGGUGUGAACGGUGUACAAAACGUUUGAACUUUUAAACACUUUCGACCACAUUGGUAGUCGAAACCACUUUCGAUCGGAUUGCUUUUGUAGUGUAAACGCACAUGUGGGUGAAUGUGUUCUAACAGCCACACGGACCGCCUUCUCUCCACCCAUUUAUCUAACCUGAGGUACCGAACACAAUGUUUUACGUCUUUUCUGAUUUCUGGCGCGAACACACGGUGUACAGCGCUAUGUUUAGCCUUUCAUUGAUAAAACUAAAGCGGCUGAUCUCCGCAGUUUCAUUUUGCAAGCGUGAAAGUUGUGCUUAUCUUAUUUCAUCAAUUGCGCUAAAAAUUCUGAGAAAGCUCUAACAUAUACAUGUAC